GAGUUCACGCGGAGGGCUGGAUUUUCAGGCUGAACCGCAACUUGCGCUGCGCGUUAUUAUUAUUCAUCUGAGGGUGCUGCCGCCACAACCUUUGCCUCCUGCGCUCCUCUCCUUCCCCCCGGCCGCUGCCGCCAGCAGUGCAGUCCCUCCUGCACGCAUGCUCUGGUUCACCGAGGGGAGAUUCUGAAUUUUUUAUCGUGCUCAUGAUCAUCAUCAUGAUAUUCCUUAUCAUGGUUAUCAUUUCCUCCUGCCAGGUGGAGCGACCACCAGCGCCUUCUCGCCACCCGCCCCUUCCCCAGCGAAGGAAGCAAUUCCGGCCGGGCCGCGGCGGCCGCUCCCUAGAUGCGGGUUUCCUUUGCCUCUCCGCAUCCCUCCCUCUUUCAUCUGCAUGUAUGUAUCUUGAUUCCUUUAUUCCAGUAGAUCUAUUGCCUUUCUUUGGGCUGGCCGAAACGCUGAGGAAUGCCACCAGUCUCUUCAAAAGAAGAACAAAAAGAGGAAGACCUUGAGUGGACCCCAGGACAAAGCACUUUGGGCUCGGCAAGAAGGGACGCGCGGGAGCGCUGACUCGGAACGAGAGUGAUCUCCGGUGCCAAGGAGCGCCCACCCAGCGUGCGGACUUCUGAGGGGAUCCAGCUGCAUUAGACACGAGUGACCUUUUAAAUCUACACCCACCCUUUACCUGCAAGAGGACUGCAGCAGGCGAGUUUCGGAAGGCUGCCUCCCCGAUACCGGCCCGGAGCGAGGCAGCUCGCCCCUGCGGCACGCCCGGACAGCCUGCGCCCGCACUCAGCCAGAGAGGAAAAAGCCUGGAUCCGAAAGGAUGGGGGAGAACAAAGAGCCUUUGGAAGACGUCGCUGUUAUCUCAUUGUCUGUGUGAUUGGGGGAGCUGCGGUAGGGAGGAUGCUGUGGUCCUGUUCUGCCUGCCUCCCCACCCCCAUCCCUCUCCCCGCUGUCAGUGCGCACGCACGCGCGCUUCUUUUUACUUAUUUUUCCUUGUUUUCUCAUUCCAUUUUCUCCCCAACCCCCC